UACGGAGGAUCCGAGCGUUAUCUGGAUUUAUUGGGUUUAAAGGGUGCGUAGGUGGAUUGGUAAGUCAGUGGUGAAAGUUUGCAGCUUAACUGUAAAAUUGCCGUUGAAACUGCCGGUCUUGAGUGCAAAUGAGGUAGGCGGAAUGCGUCGUGUAGCGGUGAAAUGCUUAGAUAUGACACAGAACACCGAUUGCAAAGGCAGCACACUAAGUCAUUAUUGACGCUGAGGCACGAAAGUGUGGGGAUCAAACAGGAUUAGA
rnacentral:rRNA from 1 species